UACGGAGGGAGCUAGCGUUGUUCGGAAUUACUGGGCGUAAAGCGCACGUAGGCGGCUUUGUAAGUUAGAGGUGAAAGCCCGGGGCUCAACUCCGGAACUGCCUUUAAGACUGCAUCGCUUGAAUCCGGGAGAGGUGAGUGGAAUUCCGAGUGUAGAGGUGAAAUUCGUAGAUAUUCGGAAGAACACCAGUGGCGAAGGCGGCUCACUGGACCGGUAUUGACGCUGAGGAGCGAAAGCGUGGGGAGCGAACAGG
rnacentral:rRNA from 1 species